GUGCUCGCUUCAGCAAUACAUAUAAUAAAAUUGGAAUGAUACAGAGAAGGUUAGCAUGGCUUCUGUGCAAGGAUGACACAAAUUCAUGAAACAUUCCAUUUUAAA
ensembl:snRNA U6 U6 spliceosomal RNA